GCAGGACACAAACCUGAGAGGGCAGGAAGUCCACGCUGCCACCACGGGGUCACCACAGGGAGCCUGGUGGGGACACAGAGUAAAAAGAAUAGAAAAUAACCAAAUGUCAAGACUGCAACUGGGGUGGAGCCAAGCUGCUGCGGAUGUUGCCAAGGGCCCUUCCCGGGAGAGCCAGGUGGGGUACCCACAUGCCACCUUCUCCUCAGGUGGAGCCACCGCCUGUGGCCUCCUGUGGGGCCAGCCUGGACUGCAGCUGCCAGGACCUAGUGAUGGCCCCAAACCUGAGAGUGGGCCCAGAGUCCCACCCCGCUAACCAUGCUGAAAAAGGCCACAGGGCACAUGAAGCCUUUGCUCCCUGGAUCAGGUCACGCUCUCCAGUUUUCCUUCCAGGAGGACAGGCCAUGCACUAAAAAACAGCUGCAGAGGAAAGGCUGGACCAGGUGUGCUGGGAGUCACCAGGAGCAAGGUGGUGAAGAUGGAGUUUCCCUCUUGUUGCCCAGGCUGGACAGCGAUGCGC
rnacentral:lncRNA from 1 species